CAUGGUGUUUGCCUGCUCCGACUCCCGUUGCUGCCCGUCGGUGACCCUGGGCCUGCAGCCCGGCGAGGCCUUCACCGUCCGCAACAUCGCCGCCAUGGUCCCACCUUACGACAAGGUAAACACUGUCUGACUGACUGACGCAUGGACAUCUGUGUUUUUUCUUUUGUUUGGCCGGCCAUGACCACUGGUGUGUCUUUGCCUGUCGACUGCUGCGUGCGCAGACCAAGUACACCGGCAUUGGGUCCGCCAUCGAGUACGCCGUCUGCGCCCUCAAGGUGGAGGUCCUCACCGUCAUCGGCCACAGCCGCUGCGGUGGCAUCAAGGCGCUCCUCUCCAUGAAGGACGGCGCACCUGACAACUUGUAAGUAACGGUGGAAUUAAGUUACAGCUUUGGAUCGAGGAACCUAUCCUGCAGCUUGGUGUUUCUGACUCGAGUACUAUCUCUUUAAUCAGCCACUUCGUCGAGGACUGGGUCAGGAUCGGCUUCCUCGCCAAGAAGAAGGUGCUGACCAACCAUGCCUCGGUUCCGUUCGAUGACCAGUGCACCCUCUUGGAGAAGGUAUGUUUGAGCUACUCAAUUACCAUGGCGAUCUUACUUUCCCAUACAGUAGCAGUGUUUGCAGUGCCAAUUGCAUCUACACGUGUGUACUGCCUGGUCUGCAUGAAUAUCGAAUUGGUUUGCUCAUGAAAGGAUCCUGCAUUUCUGAAUAUUUUUGCAGGAGGCCGUCAACGUGUCCCUCUACAACCUCCUGACCUACCCCUGGGUGAAGGAAGGUGUGGCCAACGGGACACUCAAGCUGGUCGGCGGCCACUACGACUUCGUCAACGGGGUGUUCUCCGUGUGGGAGAAAUAAGCCACCCGGUUUAUUCAUCAUACAUACAUACCGAAAUAAUGCAUCCAAUCGAUGUGAAUGCAUGAGUACUUACUACCUAUUUUCGGCCGCUACAUAUAUAUCAGAUCGGCCGAUGUGAAUGUAAUAAGAUAUAGCAUUUUCUACCGCUUUACGACUUCUAUGUACUAUAUGAUGCGUAAUUUGGCCGCCUUGUGGUCAAAAGACAUCAGCUAUGUAUAAGCCGUUUUACUACCAUGGCUAUGUAUAAUUUCAUAAUAUUUUCGUCAAGAGUUUACCUUUUA
rnacentral:lncRNA from 1 species